UCUAGGUCAUAGAUCUUUGCUUUAUUAUUUUUUUACUAAAUUGUUACUUUAGGACAGAGUCUGAGUCUUUAUUUGUAAUCCCUUACAUGUCCUGCUGUGGUGUGACUGUUAAAUUUGAAGUAUGGUUUUAGACUGAUAAUUUGCCCCAAUCUUACAAUGUUGGAAGACUUUAAGGUGUCAGUCAACUAAUGGCAUGAGUUCUGGGGUGAAACUUGGGCUCAUGUACAGACUCUGAUCCUUAGUAACAGUACAGUUUUGAGUAAUUAUGUUAUUUAACCUCCGUGAAUUUCAAUGUCCUUCUCUGUAAAAUUUUAGUUAUUAUGCACACCUUAUAGGCAUGCUGUAAGGGAUAAAUAGGGAACAUGAAGUAGCCUGGUGAAGAGUUAGCACUCAUUGCCAUAAUUUUUUUAACCAUUAUUUCUGAGGAUGAUUCUAGAGACCAACAAGAGACACCUUUUUGAAUUUACCCAAUGUGGACCGGACCAUGCCCAAGGAUUUUCAUGGGCAGCACACUGGGUAGCAGAAAGGAUCCAUUAAGAAAUCUGGCAUUGUAUAACCAGGUGAGGUCAGAUGACUCUUCUAUUAAAACAAGGAUCUCCAGACUGGGGAUUCAACAAGAGGGAAAGAAUGGCAUCUCUGUUACAAGAAAGUCAUUUCUGGUGCUUUUUGGAAGAAAAGAGAAAAGCAGAUAAAAACGGAAUUCUUAUUUACCACAACAAUAUUCUAUUAAACUCUGUGUAUUAAAUAAACUAUCAUAUCAAUCGUA